rnacentral:rRNA from 1 species
AUUGAACGCUGGCGGCAGGCCUAACACAUGCAAGUCGAGCGGAUGAAGGGAGCUUGCUCCUGGAUUCAGCGGCGGACGGGUGAGUAAUGCCUAGGAAUCUGCCUGGUAGUGGGGGAUAACGUCCGGAAACGGGCGCUAGUACCGCAUACGUCCUGAGGGAGAAAGUGGGGGAUCUUCGGACCUCACGCUAUCAGAUGAGCCUAGGUCGGAUUAGCUAGUUGGUGGGGUAAAGGCCUACCAAGGCGACGAUCAGUAACUGGUCUGAGAGGAUGAUCAGUCACACUGGAACUGAGACACGGUCCAGACUCCUACGGAAGGCAGCAGUGGGGAAUAUUGGACAAUGGGCGAAAGCCUGAUCCAGCCAUGCCGCGUGUGUGAAGAAGGUCUUCGGAUUGUAAAGCACUUUAAGUUGGGAGGAAGGGCAGUAAGUUAAUACCUUGCUGUUUUGACGUUACCAACAGAAUAAGCACCGGCUAACUUCGUG